rnacentral:rRNA from 1 species
GAUGAACGCUGGCGGCGUGCCUAAUACAUGCAAGUCGAACGAAGAGACAAGAAGCUUCUGCUCUUGACGUUAGCGGCGGGCGGGUGAGUGACGCAUGUAUCACCUACCUAUAAGACGGGGAGAACUUCGGGACGACAGAUAUAAUACCAGAGCAUAUGUUGAACCGCGGUAAGCAAUGGAGAAAGGCAGCUUUGCCGCUACUAAGAGGUGGUGCCGCGUCGCAUUAGCUAGUUGGUAAGGUAACGCCUCACCAAGGCAACGAUCCGGGGCCGACCUGAGAGGGUGAUCGGCCCCACUGGAACUGAGCCACGGUCCAGACUCCUACGGGAGGCAGCAGUGGGGAAUCUUCGGCAAUGGGCGAAAGCCUGCCGCAGCAACGCCGCGUGGGUGAUGAAGGUCUUCGGAUUGUAAACCCCUUUUAUUGGGAAAGAACAGCUGUAGAAUUAACUCUGCACGUUUUGACGGUACCUAAUCAGAAAGCCACGGCUAACUACGUG